AACGAACGCUGGCGGCAUGCCUAACACAUGCAAGUCGAACGAGAUCUUCGGAUCUAGUGGCGCACGGGUGCGUAACGCGUGGGAAUCUGCCCUUGGGUUCGGGAUAACAGUUGGAAACGACUGCUAAUACCGGAUGACGACUUCGGUCCAGAGAUUUAUCGCCCAAGGAUGAGCCCGCGUAAGAUUAGCUUGUUGGUGAGGUAAAGGCUCACCAAGGCGACGAUCUUUAGCUGGUCUGAGAGGAUGAUCAGCCACACUGGACUGAGACACGGCCCAGACUCCUACGGGAGGCAGCAGUGGGGAAUAUUGGACAAUGGGCGAAAGCCUGAUCCAGCAAUGCCGCGUGAGUGAUGAAGGCCUUAGGGUUGUAAAGCUCUUUUACCCGGGAUGAUAAUGACAGUACCGGGAGAAUAAGCCCCGGCUAACUCCGUGCCAGCCGCCGCCGUAAUAC
rnacentral:rRNA from 1 species